rnacentral:rRNA from 1 species
UCUGUUCCUUUUUUUCCCUCCUCCUCUUUAUUACGUAUGGUGCAAGCGUUAUCCGGAUUUACUGGGUGUAAAGGGAGCGUAGACGGAGUGGCAAGUCUGAUGUGAAAACCCGGGGCUCAACCCCGGGACUGCAUUGGAAACUGUCAAUCUAGAGUACCGGAGAGGUAAGCGGAAUUCCUAGUGUAGCGGUGAAAUGCGUAGAUAUUAGGAGGAACACCAGUGGCGAAGGCGGCUUACUGGACGGUAACUGACGUUGAGGCUCGAAAGCGUGGGGAGCAAACAGG